rnacentral:tRNA from 1 species
AAUAAGAUGCCUGAAAAAUUAAAGGAUUAUUUUGAUAGAAUAAAUUAUGUAAUUAAAUUACUCUUAUUA